UAGGGAAUCUUCCACAAUGGACGCAAGUCUGAUGGAGCAACGCCGCGUGAGUGAAGAAGGUUUUCGGACCGUAAAGCUCUGUUGUUGGUGAAGAAGGAUAGAGGUAGUAACUGGCCUUUAUUUGACGGUAAUCAACCAGAAAGUCACGGCUAACUACGUGCCAGCAGCCGCGGUAAAUCGUAGGUGGCAAGCGUUGUCCGGAUUUAUUGGGCGUAAAGCGAGCGCAGGCGGAAGAAUAAGUCUGAUGUGAAAGCCCUCGGCUUAACCGAGGAAUUGCAUCGGAAACUGUUUUUCUUGAGUGCAGAAGAGGAGAGUAGAACUCCAUGUGUAGCGGUGGAAUGCGUAGAUAUAUGGAAGAAUACCAGUGGCGAAGGCGGCUCUCUGGUCUGCAACUGACGCUGAGGCUCGAAAGCAUGGGUAGCGAACAGGAUUAGAUACCCUGGUAGUCCAUGCCGUAAACGAUGAGUGCUAAGUGUUGGGAGGCUUCCGCCUCUCAGUGCUGCAGCUAACGCAUUAAGCACUCCGCCUGGGGGAGUGCGACCGCAAGGUUGAAAC
rnacentral:rRNA from 1 species